GGCACUAUAGCCAAGUGGUUACGGCGACAGAUUCGAAUCAAGUAGUAUCUGUUACUCUUUGAGUGCGCAGGUUCAAAUCCUGCUGGUGUCG